AUUGAACGCUGGCGGUAUGCUUAACACAUGCAAGUCGAACGGUAGCAGCUCUUCGGAGGCUGACGAGUGGCGGACGGGUGAGUAACGCGUAGGAAUCUGCCUGUUAGUGGGGGACAACGUGUGGAAACGCACGCUAAUACCGCAUACGCACUACGGGGGAAAGGAGGGGACCUUCGGGCCUUUCGCUAACAGAUGAGCCUGCGUUAGAUUAGCUAGAUGGUGGGGUAAAGGCCUACCAUGGCGACGAUCUAUAGCUGUUCUGAGAGGAAGAUCAGCCACACUGGGACUGAGACACGUCCCAGACUCCUACGGGAGGCAGCAGUGGGGAAUAUUGGACAAUGGGCGAAAGCCUGAUCCAGCAAUACCGCGUGUGUGAAGAAGGCCUUAGGGUUGUAAAGCACUUUCAAUGGGGAGGAAAAAGAGUAAGCUAAUACCUUGCUUAUUGACAUUACCCAUACAAGAAGCACCGGCUAACUCCGUGCCAGCAGCCGCCGUAAGAC
rnacentral:rRNA from 1 species